AUGUAUUUGACAGGGGCCAACAGGGAAAUCAGGACCUACAGGACCCCCAGGAUCCCCAGGAGACAGAGGUUUUACAGGGAAACCAGGCAUGGAAGGACCACAGGGUCCUGUAGGCAUGGUAUACGAGGGAGUGUGGGCAUGCGUGGGCCUCCCGGGUUCACAGGAGAACGGGUAAAAUCACUGUCUAUUUCUCUAUCCAUGCAUUUAUCCAUACACACCAUUAUUAACGCUAAUAAAGUAAUAACGUAUCCCUUCGUCAGGGUGAGCCAGGUUCACGAGGCUUCCCUGGGCCUGGUGGGAAGCCAGGACCUCCAGUGAGUACAUCUCAUUUAUCUUGUCUGCGUGAACAGCGAGCUCGGUUCGUUGCCCCAAGUUUAGCAUCCAGCUAAAGUGAUGAAGGCUGCAGCCGGCGUCCCUGCUAAUGGCGGCAAUCAGGUUGUCCUGAUUGGUUUUGUUGGGGGUCCCUGUGGCUAAUCUAAUGGCAAAGGAGGGGGCAAAGGUCACGUAAGAGGAGGAAUAAAGGAGGAGGAAUCCAUUCUUUGAGUCAAAGACGGCUAAAUGUGUGUAUUAUAUAUUCUAUUAAUAUGUUUUAAUCAAUCACUUUUAAAACAGUGUACCAAGGUGCUCCAGACAAUAAAAAACAAAACCUACGACUUAAGUAAAAAACAGAUAAGUAAAAACAUAACCACUAAUGGAUGAUAAAAAAUAAGUGAUGAUAAAAGACAACAGGAAGUGAGCCAGCCUCCCUGUAUCAUUAAGUUGUCCAGAAUUGAACGGUUAUACAAUCAGAAACGCAUUUUCGUACAAAACAAAAGUCUAAACUCACUGCAAGUUCAAUUUGUCUGGACUUUCUUUUACUCUUAAGUGGAAAGAUAUUUUAAAAUAGCAUGAGAUGUUGAGUAUUUUAGUCAGGGAAACUUGAAACACGGU
rnacentral:lncRNA from 1 species